GAAAGUAAGUAAGGGCGUAUGGGGGAUGCCUAGGCUCUUGGAGGCUAAGAAGGACGUGGUAAGCUGCGAAAAGCUGCGGGGAUUUGCAAACGAGACUCGAUCCGCAGAUAUCCGAAUGGGACAACCCGGCAGGUAGAAGACCUGUCACACCGCGAGGUGAGCUAACCCUCUGAACUGAAACAUCUAAGUAGGAGGAGGAAAAGAAAGAAACAUCGAUUUCCAAAGUAGCGGCGAGCGAAAUGGAAGAAGCCCAAACCGAUAUUGUUACGGCAAUAUCGGGGUUGUAGGACUGCAAUAUUCAAUUAACAAUGAACUGGAAUGGUCUGGAAAGUCCAUCCAUAGAGAGUGAAAGGCUCGUACAGGUAAGUUUGUUAUGCGAAAGCAGUAUCCUGAGUAUGGCGGGACACGAGGAAUCCUGUCAGAAUCAGCCGGGACCACCCGGUAAGGCUAAAUACUCCCAAGAGACCGAUAGUGGACCAGUACUGUGAAGGAAAGGUGAAAAGAACCCCGAACAGGGGAGUGAAAUAGAACCUGAAACCAUACGCUUACAACCGGUCGGAGCAGCUUCGUGCUGUGACGGCGUGCCUAUUGAAUAAUGAGCCUACGAGUUACUAAUCACUAGCGAGGUUAAGUGCAAGGAUGCACGGAGCCGAAGCGAAAGCGAGUCUGAACAGGGCGUUUAGUUAGUGGUUGUAGACGCGAAACCUUGCGAUCUACCCUUGAGCAGGUUGAAGGUUGGGUAAAACCAACUGGAGGACCGAACGAAUAAGCGUUGAAAAGCUUCUCGAUGACUUGAGGGUAGGGGUGAAAGGCUAAUCAAGCUGGGAAAUAGCUCGUACUCCCCGAAAUGCCUUUUGGGGCAGCGUUGUAAUAAAGAGUCUACUGGAGGUAGAGCUACUGAUUGGAUGCGGGGGCUUCACCGCCUACCAAAUCCUGACAAACUCCGAAUGCCAGUAGUAUGAUUUACAGCAGUGAGUGACUGGGUGCUAAUGUCCAGUCGCAAAAGAGGAACAACUCAGACCAGUAACUAAGGUCCCGAAGAAUAUGCUAAGUUGAUCUAACGAUGUUUUGUUGCAGAGACAGCUAGGAUGUUAGCUUGGAAGCAGCUAUUCAUUCAAAGAGUGCGUAACAGCUCACUAGUCGAGCGACAGAGCGUGGAUAAUAAACGGGCAUCAAGCAUAUCACCGAAGUUCUGGGCGCGAGAGCGCGGUAGGGGAGCAUUCCAUUCAGCGUCGAAGCAGUUUCGUGAGGAAUUGUGGAGCGUAUGGAAAAGCAAAUGUAGGCAUGAGUAACGAUAAUGCGGGAGAGUAACCCGCACACCGCAAGACCAAGGUUUCCUGAUCAACGCUAAUCGGAUCAGGGUUAGUCGGGUCCUAAGGGUAAGCCGAACGGCGAUCUCGAUGGAUAAUCGGUUAAUAUUCCGAUACUAACAUAUACCUCGAUGGAGAGACGAAGGAACGUAAGUGCCGCCACCUGACGGAAUAGGUGGUUAAAGGGCGUAGGUAUAGGGGCAGAUUAAGAGUUAGUCCUUGCUGAAACCUGACAGUACAGAGAGCCUACGGGCAAUUUGAUAGUGCACCCAAGUCGACUUCCGAGAAAAUCUUCUAAGUUAUAGUAUAUGUCACCCGUACCGUAAACCGACACAGGUGGUCGAGGAGAGUAUCCUAAGGUGCUCGAGUGAAUCACGGUUAAGGAACUAGGCAAAUUAACCCCGUAACUUCGGGAAAAGGGGUCCCUAUGAAAGUAGGGCGCAGCGAAGAGGUCCAGGCGACUGUUUAUCAAAAACACAGGGCUCUGCAAAUUCGAAAGAAGACGUAUAGGGCCUGACACCUGCCCGGUGCUGGAAGGUUAAGAGGGGAUGUCAUCGCAAGAGAAGCAUUGAAUCGAAGCCCCAGUAAACGGCGGCCGUAACUAUAACGGUCCUAAGGUAGCGAAAUUCCUUGUCGGGU
rnacentral:rRNA from 1 species